rnacentral:lncRNA from 1 species
GCGCAGGCGCAGAGAGGCGCGCUGCGCCGGCUGUCUUGCUCGCAGUAUAGUGGCGGCAGGCCGCCUGCUUGCAGCUCGGGAAAUUGCAGGGCCCUGUUGCUCGCAGUGUAGGGGUAGCACGUCCGACUGCUGGCAGCUGGGGACACUGCCUGGCCCUCUUGCUCCAAAUGUAUUGGCGGGUGGCUCCCCUGCUGGCAGCUACGGACAGUGCUGGGUCGUCUUGCUUGCAGUGUAGUCGCGGCACGCCCCCUUCUGGCCGCUGGGGUCACUACAGGAUCCUCUUGCUCAUGAUGUGGUGCCCCUACGCCACCUCCUGGCAGCUAAGGACACUGCAGGGCCCUCUUGCUCCCGGUGUGACGGCUGGCGUCCCCUACUGGCCACCUCCCGAACAAACUCGGGGCGCCAGUUAUUAAGCCCCAUCAGUUCUGUAAAUUCAAACUGAAACGGAGCUAUUACUGGGGAGACCUGAUGUCCCAAUUCUUAACUUGGAGGAAAGAUUUUCACUUUCCUCCAAGAAACACUCUCUAAGAACACAGCACUCAGAAAAGCCAGCCUGAUACCUAGAUUACACGGUUCACAGCCUUACAGGUUAGUAAGGAAGGUCAUUUCCUCGUAGACCCAGGAAUUUAGGGAUAUUUUGGGGACUUCAAGAAGACAGGAAUUCACACAAAGCUAUAAGGACUGCAGCUGAAAUCUGAGAUUCUGUAUGAAAACUUCCAGCAAAGAAACCUGAAAGCACCUACCUGGUCAUCUCCUGUUCUUGCUGCACUUACAUAAAUAAUCAGGCAAAAUCUAACAAAACUAGACUUAUUUUUAAAACAAGAAUAGUCUUACUUUGAUUAUGAUAAAAAAUGAUGGUUACUUGUUACUUUCUGUGCUGGGUGAGCAUCUUUAGUUUUUGUUCUAUAAACCUACUAAAGACAAUGAAGCAUUUCCAAACAAUGUGCUACAAAUACAGGUAAAGUAAACUUAAUAUGUGAUUAGCCUUAAUUAUGAAACCACAGAGUGUCUCCUAGUGUGAGUUCUGCUGGGACACAGAAACCCACCCAUUCCUGAGCCUUGGAGCAAAGUUACCUCCUGUUUUGCCUGUUUUGUAUAAAGCCUAGAAAUACAGACAAACUUAAAAACAUUUGUCUUUUUGAGAUUUAGGUAAAAAAAUUAGUAAAUUUAUUGCCCAGUAUGCAGUCAUAUACCAUAUAACAAUGUUUCAAUCCAUGUCAUACCACAUAUAUGAUGGUGGUCCCACAAGAUUGUAAUGCUGUAUUUUUACUUUACCUUUGAAAUGUUUAGAUAAGUUCAGAUCCAUAAAUAGUUACCAUAAUGUUACAGUUGCCUACAGUAUUCAGUACUGUCAUGUGCUGCACAGGUGUGCCACCAGAGAGUGACAGGCUCUACCGUAUAGCCUAGUGUGCAGUAGGCUGUGCCAUCUAGGUGUGUGUAAGUGCGCUCCAUUGUGUUCACACAACUAUGAAAUCACCUCCGACACAUUUCUCAGAAUGUAUACCUGUCGUUAAGUGACAGGACUGCAGUUGUAAAAGAUGCAGGUCUGAGGAUUCAGGGUCUCUCCUUGCAACUCACAAGGCUGGCUCUAGAAGGCACUCAUAGCACACAGGAGAGAAGUAACCCGUGCACAUAGAGAGAAAUCCUGGAGAUAAUGCUUGGGCUGUCUCCAGUGAUGUUAAGAGCAAAAUUACAGCUGCCAUUUACCAAGUGCUUCCCAGGCACUGUGCUGACUGCUGAAACAUACUUUUUGUUUUUGUUUGUUUGUUUGAUGUCAUCAGCAGUAUAGCUUCCUUGGAAGCUUUCAUUAAUGUUCUCAUUUUGCAGUAAGAAGAAACUAAGUCUUAGCGAUAACCAAGUGGCAGACGUGGCAGAAGAAAAAUUUGAAACCAGGGCCACAUUGAGCCUGCAGGCAUGUCUGGCCUGUUCUGAGGACAGACAUUUCAAGCACAGAGAGGCACAGGAGCACUGUUUGAGCCUGGAGCUUAAAUCGCGAAUCCAGAGAGCCCUCUCUGAGCAUGCGUUGUGCCCAGAGUUGGUUUCAUGUGGAUCAACUCAGGCUUCUAUGGCAGGGCCACAGACAGGGUCCACAGAAGUGGUUUCUGCCAAUCUUUGAAGAGUCCUGAUCUUAUAUAAUCAAAGAAGCUUCAAGUCUGGAAGAGAGAGGCAAAAGCUUACUCAAUAUGAAGACGAUGGGGAUAAAGACCUUUAUGAUGAUUCAGUUUCACUUAAUGGACAGUGUUCCACAGUGAGCAGGUACAUGCAAAUCUGCCCUCAAAGGCCAAGGGAGCUGAGCUGUUGAAGACAGAGGCUGACAAAGCUAGUUUCUCAGAAGGAAAUAUGUAAUAGAAACUACAGACAGAAGGGAUAUCUUGAGGGCUGUGAGACAGUGGAUUCCCAAAACCACCCUCCAGAAGGUACUCCUUAUAGAACAAGAUUUUAAGGUAAAGACUUGUGCAGCUGGUCACAUCUGACUUUCUUCUUGCUAAGAGUGAUGACCACCAUGGAGGUUAGAUAGGUAUCUUUAUGAGGGGUUAUCUAUCUCACAGGAAUUGUUUAAAGAUCUUGCUGCAGAACACAAGCCUACUAUGCAAGAAUCAAACAUAGGUCUUCAUGGCAGUUUUGCUUCAAGAUGGCCUCACUCUUGCCAUGCAACAAGCUGUUUUAAGUAAAUGCUUUUUCUCUUUCUUAUAAUUUUCUUAAUAAUAUUUUCUUUUUUCUAGCUUACAUUAUUAUAAGAAUACAGCAUGUAGUGCACAUAGUACACCAAAUGUGUUAAUUGACUGCUUAUGGUACUCAUAAGGCUUUCUGUCAACAGAAAGCUAUUAGUAGCUAAGGUUUUGGGAAGUCAAAUGUUGUAUUCAGAUUCUUGACAGAGCAGGGGUCAAUGCCUCUAUUCUUCAUGUUGUUCAGGGUCAUCUAGUUGUUUCUUUCUUUGGUAUUUUUAUACGGGUAAUACAUAUACAUUAAGAAAAUAUGUACUUGUAAAUAAGACAGUAAGCUGACUAUAUUUACAUUUUAUUACAGAAAGUCUGUUCCAAAAUUAAGAUAAAACAUGAGUAUUAGGUGCAAUAUACAAUAAACAUGAAGUCAAAAUGGAAACUUCAGGUCAGAGAAACAGUGGGAGUGAGAGUGAAUGUAACUGUCUUCAACUGGACAUUUGUUUUCCUUCUAAUGGCUGAGUGUCAUCAGAUUGAGAGUGAACUGUCUACUUGCCCUGAGAUGGGCUGAGCUAGGCUGCCUGCCAUAGACUUCUAAUGGGAGAGGGAGAGAGGGAUGACAGAAUAGAAAUAAAUAACUCUCUUCCACCAUGGCUGAGGAAUUCUUUCAUGAUGAAUAUCCAAUAUUAAUUUUUUUCCUUCUCCCUCUGUUACGUGCCCUAACUAUUGGGAAUUUAUGACAUCUUCCUCUUUGUCAUUGCCAUCCAUUGAGGUCCUGGGUCCUCUUCCCCAUUCCUCACCCUAAAGACUUCUGUAUCUGCUUACAGUCACUCCCCUCACCACCUUUAGUCAGUAACCCAUCAGCACCCUGACCUCCCAGGGCUUCCAGCAAUCCAUCUCCAGGGAUAGUCCCAUUCCUCAAAUGAAUUCAAGUGGCCAAUUUCUACUACAGCUUCAUCCUUCAAGUCCAUAAUUAUUCAAUCUAAUGAAGACUUGAAUUUUCCAACUUUCUAUCUAUAUCUAUAUACACUCCCUGAGAUUUACUUCAUUGUUUAUUUAAAUUUAUUUUAAAUCCAUUUUUACUUUGUAUUUCCUUAUGAGUAAACUCAAUUGUCUUGGGCAAUGUCAUUUUAUUGUAGUUAUUUCACUAAGCUCUUCCUGGAAAAACAGGACCAAGUCUUUUUUAUAUAUACACUACCAUAACUAAAAAUUGCUUGAGAAAAAUAAACCUCACAAUGUGGCAGACCCAUAUGACUAUAAAUUUAUGAUUAUCUACCUCAACAUUUCUUGGCCAUCCUACUAUGUUUUACCAAUAGCCUGGUUUUAAUACUUCCCUUGAUUAGCAUUGUUACAUUUUCUACAUUACCCAGAAUUGACACCCCCACCACAUACACAUAACCUUUCCACUCUCUGAACAAUUAAUCACCAGGGAUCGGGGAUAAGAAUUGAAAUUUCCAGAAAUUCUCAGGAUAUCCGGAAACUUUAAAUGAAUCUUUACUUUUUAUAACAUUUAUAUGCAUAGUUUUAAAUAACAACAAGUGAUAAUACAUGGUGAAUCAUUUAUAUGUGGUAGAAUUAUACUAUAAGCUUAAGAACUUUUCUGAAAAUGAUGAUACGAUAAUAAAUGUAUAACAUUAUUAUAAUGCAAUAGUAUAUCAUGAUAAAGUAAUAUGAAUAACAAAUAGAAUGAUUUCUACUAGGUAUAGACAUUCAAUCAGAGAAAAUAUUAAAGCAGAGGGAAUAUGAGUAGAAAAUAAAUGUCAAAUAAAAAGCAUUAAAACUGUAAAAGAUGACAGCACAAAUAUUUAAUAUAACAAUAAUAUGUUAUAUAUAAUAAAAGUUAUUAUUCUGAA